CAGCAGUAACCGCGGUAAUACGUAGGUGGCAAGCGUUGUCCGGAAUUAUUGGGCGUAAAGCGCGCACAGGCGGUUUCUUAAGUCUGAUGUGAAAGCCCCCGGCUUAACCGGGGAGGGUCAUUGGAAACUGGGAGACUUAGAGUGCAGAAGAGGAGAGUGGAAUUCCAUGUGUAGCGGUGAAAUGCGUAGAUAUAUGGAGGAACACCAGUGGCGAAGGCGACUCUCUGGUCUGUAACUGACGCUGAGGCGCGAAAGCGUGGGGGGCAAACAGGAUUAGAUACCCGCGUAGUCCCUGUCUCUUAUA
rnacentral:rRNA from 1 species